AUUGAACGCUGGCGGCAGGCCUAACACAUGCAAGUCGAGCGGAUGAAGGGAGCUUGCUCCUGGAUUCAGCGGCGGACGGGUGAGUAAUGCCUAGGAAUCUGCCUGGUAGUGGGGGAUAACGUCCGGAAACGGGCGCUAAUACCGCAUACGUCCUGAGGGAGAAAGUGGGGGAUCUUCGGACCUCACGCUAUCAGAUGAGCCUAGGUCGGAUUAGCUAGUUGGUGGGGUAAAGGCCUACCAAGGCGACGAUCCGUAACUGGUCUGAGAGGAUGAUCAGUCACACUGGAACUGAGACACGGUCCAGACUCCUACGGGAGGCAGCAGUGGGGAAUAUUGGACAAAGGGCGAAAGCCUGAUCCAGCCAUGCCGCGUGUGUGAAGAAGGUCUUCGGAUUGUAAAGCACUUUAAGUUCGGAGGAAGGGCAGUAAGUUAAUACCUUGCUGUUUUGACGUUACCAACAGAAUAAGCACCGGCUAACUUCGUG
rnacentral:rRNA from 1 species